GGCUAACGCUGGCGGCGUGUCUUAGCCAUGCAAGUCGAGCGGACUUAUGGGGUAACUUAUAAGUCAGCGGCGGACGGCGGAGUAACACGUAGCUAACCUACCCUCUGGACGGGGAUAACCUACCGAAAGGUGGGCUAAUACCCGAUGUAGUCAUCCUGUAUAGGGGUGAUGAAAGGUGGGCUUCUGCUUACAAGCUCAUGCUGGAGGAGGGGGCUGCGGCCUAUCAGGUAGUUGGUAGGGUAAUAGCCUACCAAGCCGAUGACGGGUAGCCGGCCUGAGAGGGUGACCGGCCCGAGGGGCACUGAGAUACGGGUCCCACUCCUACGGGAGGCAGCAGGCUAGAAAUUUGGGCAAUGGGGGAAACCCUGACCCAGUGACGCCGCGUGCAGGAAGGAGCCCUUCGGGGUGUAAACUGCUGUCGUGUAGGGAGAAGGGUACUAAGGUGAACAAUCUUAGUACUUGACGGUACUACAGGAGGAAGCCCAGGCUAACCUCGUG
rnacentral:rRNA from 1 species